AGGUUUUGCCUGCCCUGGGCGAGGCUGCAGGGGUGACUGGGAAGAGCUGGGACUGAGACGGCUUCGAAGGUUUUGCCUGCCCUGGGUGAGGCUGCAGGGGUGACUGAGGGGAGCUGGGACUGAGAGGGCUGAGGAGGUUUUGCCUGUCCUGGGCAGGGCUGCAUCUUCAGUCCCAGGGCCCCGGACACCCCAGGCUUGUCCGUGGGAUGGUGAUGGGAAGGGCUGUUCUGGGGCUACUGGAAGUUAAGACAGGAACUGACGUGGAGAGAGCCUCCGGGCCUCCAACUUCCAGAGUCAGCUCCUGCAGACCCUCCCAGGCCACGCGCCUGGCCCAGAGCCUUCCCGCUCACUCCUGGCUGCCCCUCCAGGCCUGGACUUGAGCUUCAGACAGGGGCAGGAUUCCAGGGGGAUGGAGCCAAGGGUUCCCUGGACAAAACGGAGUUGCCUCUGGCCAACUGGGAUGCGAUUCCAGAAAAACAUCUUGCUCUCCUGGCCAUCCUGGCUGGACUGCCCACAUGGCCUCCUACAGACUGGGGGUGGGGAGGGAAGGUGUCAGCAAGGACCUUUCCUGCCAAGACCAGAAGAGGCCAAGCGGGCAGAGAGAGCACUUCUGUCCUGGAAUCAAGGAUUGAGGCCAAGGCUGACAGCCGGCUCAGCCCAAAGUCACAUCAAGGUGAAGGAGGAGAACUGCUGUGUGCUCAUCCCUGAAAUGGGAAUAAAAACUGAGUCUUUUUUACUAAAUCUCAGUAAAAUAAUUAUUCACAAUAACAAGCCCAUGACACAUUGACAUAAAUAAUAUUUUUAAAGAAAAAACUAUAUUCUCCACA
rnacentral:lncRNA from 1 species